UGCGUCCUUCAUCUGCAAAGUU
rnacentral:misc_RNA from 1 species